GGCUAUCCAGGGCAGACGUCUGCUUUGUCCAGGGACUACUCUGACCGACCUAUCGCCUAUCCCCGACGUUUGGCUGUAGUUUGUUCCACCAUUUGCUCCAGUAACAGAAGUCGCUGCUAAACUACUGGCUGGAUAUUCUCACGGCUGCUCUUUCCCCCGGUGUGCUCAUCAAUUCCAGCUUCGCAACAUCACAGCGUGUUGCGCUGUCCGGGCUCCCUACAUCUGACGUUAGCUGUUGCAUGGUAGGUUGUAGCUUUAUUUACCUCGAUUUACCUAAAUUAAGCAUAACGUUAGAGUAAUGACUCUGUACUCCUUAUAGGAUCUGUAUGGUAUCCUGAUGUGGUGACGGCCUUGCUGUUUUGUUCCUGUUUUGGGGUUUGCUGUGUGGAGCGCCUUCCGCUUCUCUCUGUGGCCUUCCAUCGCUGCGUCUCUGAUGCAUGAUUGCUAGCUAACCUUGUGGUGGCUAUCUGCUUGGGCCUGUUUAGUGCGGACGUGCGUGUUUGUUGCAUGAGUGUGCAUGUGUGGGAGUUUGGUUUGCUUGCUGCUCUAUUGAUGCUCUGUGCUUUUCUCUGUAUUUUGUUUUGUCUUAUUUGUACUCAUUUGUUUUUGUUUGUUUUUCUACUGCAUGUACUGUCAAGUGGGCUUUCCCUGUGUAUGUUGCUUGUCUCUCCUGCUGGGGGCUACAUUGGGCGCAUGUUGGAGGGUUUAUUCUCCUCUGGUGGUGUCCAUCCCUUAUUGUGUGUGCUGUGUUAAUUAGUUUAGAUAAGUCACCUUUUCAUUUUGAUUUGCAGUGUGGUUUGAAUCACAGAUUUCGCCUCAGAGGCUUUGACAUCUGCCCUCUACGGUAAGCCCAAUCUAGUUUAAACAUUGAUCCUGACAAUCUAGCCUUACAUGGUGUUGC